rnacentral:rRNA from 1 species
CCUACGGGAGGCUGCAGUGGGGACUAUUGCACAAUGGGCGAAACCCUGAUGCAGCGACGCCGCGUGAGUGAAGAAGUAUCUCGGUACGUAAAGCUCUAUCAGCAGGGAAGAUAAUGACGGUACCUGACCAGGAAGCCCCGGCUAACUACGUGCCAGCAGCCGCGGGAAUACGUAGGGGGCAAGCGUUAUCCGGAUUUACUGGGUGUAAAGGGAGCGUAGACGGCAGCACAAGUCUGGAGUGAAAACCCGGGGCUUAACCCCGGAACUGCUUUGGAAACUGUGCGGCUGGAGUGCAGGAGGGGUAAGCGGAAUUCCUAGUGUAGCGGUGAAAUGCGUAGAUAUUAGGAGGAACACCGGUGGCGAAGGCGGCUUACUGGACUGUAACUGACGUUGAGGCUCGAAAGCGUGGGGAGCAAACAGGAUUAGAUACCCGAGUAGUC